GCUUAACACAUGCAAGUCGAACGGAAAGGCCUCAGCUUGCUGGGGUACUCGAGUGGCGAACGGGUGAGUAACACGUGGGUGAUCUGCCCUGCACUUUGGGAUAAGCUUGGGAAACUGGGUCUAAUACCGAAUAUGACCACUUCUUGGAUGUUGUGGUGGAAAGCUUUUGCGGUGUGGGAUGAGCCUGCGGCCUAUCAGCUUGUUGGUGGGGUAAUGGCCUACCAAGGCGGCGACGGGUAUCCGGCCUGAGAGGGUGUACGGACACAUUGGGACUGAGAUACGGCCCAGACUCCUACGGGAGGCAGCAGUGGGGAAUAUUGCACAAUGGGCGCAAGCCUGAUGCAGCGACGCCGCGUGGGGGAUGAAGGCCUUCGGGUUGUAAACUCCUUUCGCUAUCGACGAAGCCACUUGUGGUGACGGUAGGUAGAUAAGAAGCACCGGCUAACUACGUGCCAGCAGCCGCGGUAAUACGUAGGGUGCAAGCGUUGUCCGGAAUUACUGGGCGUAAAGAGCUCGUAGGUGGUUUGUCGCGUCGUCUGUGAAAUCCCGGGGCUUAACUUCGGGCGUGCAGGCGAUACGGGCAUAACUUGAGUGCUGUAGGGGAGACUGGAAUUCCUGGUGUAGCGGUGAAAUGCGCAGAUAUCAGGAGGAACACCGAUGGCGAAGGCAGGUCUCUGGGCAGUAACUGACGCUGAGGAGCGAAAGCAUGGGUAGCGAACAGGAUUAGAUACCCUGGUAGUCCAUGCCGUAAACGGUGGGCGCUAGGUGUAGGGGGCUUCCACGUCUUCUGUGCCGUAGCUAACGCAUUAAGCGCCCCGCCUGGGGAGUACGGCCGCAAGGCUAAAACUCAAAGGAAUUGACGGGGGCCCGCACAAGCGGCGGAGCAUGUGGAUUAAUUCGAUGCAACGCGAAGAACCUUACCUGGGCUUGACAUGUACCGGAUCGGGCUAGAGAUAGUCUUUCCCUUGUGGUCGGUAUACAGGUGGUGCAUGGUUGUCGUCAGCUCGUGUCGUGAGAUGUUGGGUUAAGUCC
rnacentral:rRNA from 1 species